UGUGAAGCGACACCCCUGCAGGUGGGGAUCUGGGGGCUUGAACCAGGUUCCUUAAGCGGGUCUUUGCGCUUCGCGCCAGGUGUGCUUAACCCACUGUGCUACCGUCCGACUCCCUCUCUUUCUUUUUUUUUAAAAAAAUAUUUAUUUUAUUUAUUUAUUCCCUUUUUGUUGCCCUUGUUGUUUUAUUGUUGUAGUUAUUAUUGUUGUUGUCGUUGUUGGAUAGGACAGAGAGAAAUGGAGAGAGGAGGGGAGGACAGAGAGGAGGAGAGAAAGAUAGACCUGCUUCACCGCCUGUGAAGAGACUCCCCUGCAGGUGGGGAGCCGGGGUUCAAACCGGGAUCCUUAUGCCGGUCCUUGUGCUUUGCG